rnacentral:tRNA from 1 species
GCCACCUUAGCUCAGUUGGUAGAGCAACACUUUUGUAAAGUGAAGGUCGUCGGUUCGAAUCCGUCAGGUGGCU